UUUGUCUGAAAAUAUUGUUGAAAUUCCAAUAAACGGUUUCGAAUUUAUAAAUUCAGGUGUGAUUGACUCAAGGGUGAACAACAACACUGUCUUAUCAUAUGUGGUUGGUUGUUUAUAUGGAAUUGGUGAUAUCGAGAGUGUUGGUUCAAAAUAGAAGAAGAGGGAUAUCCACAUUCUUACAAAUUAUUCGGCUAAAGCAAAAAUUACCUUAUGAGAAGAACUUGAGGAGAAGUUUUCUCCUUAUUUGUAUAACAAUGAUGCUGGCCCAUAUAUAGU